CUAGAAUCUUGGUGUGCUUGCAGGCUUUGAAGAACAAGCUGCCAUGAAUCCUGCAGCUACAAGGAAAUGAACUCUAUUAACUUGAGUGAGCUUAAAACUAGAUCCUUCCCCAGUCAAGCCUCCAGGUGAGAAUUCAAUCCUGGCUGGCACCUGGAUUGCAGCUUACAGAAGACCCAGCUAAGGCCAUGUCUGGACUUUAAAUCCACAGGAACUGCAAGAUGGUAUCAGAAGUGGGACCUGCAGUGGGGCAUCUAGCAACCCCCAGGAGCAUUGAGUGACCAGGCUUGGGACCCACCGGGCGCAGGGUGUCCAUUGUUCUCUCGAAGCAACUGAGAAUUGUGGAUAUUCUUCAUUAUUCCAUCAUCAUCUCAAACCUCUUGGGUAUAGUGUUUGACUACUACUGUGACCAUAAAUUCCAAUAAAACCUAGGAAAAAUGAAACCACUACAUUAACUGAAAGGUGGGAUGAAAUCUGAAGAAUUCUAUUCUAACAUCUUGCUGAUGUUUAUCUGAUCAUCUUUUGCCAUCAGAUGUGCCUGUCACAGUCUCCACCAGAAGCUUUAUCUUACUACAGAGUCCAGAUGCAUUAAGGCUGUGUUCGAGCCAUGAUCUUCCUCUGAAGAAGAAAUGAAGAAGAAAUUUAUCUUAUUUUUGGAUAUAGUGUUCUUAGUUGGCAGUUUAAUUAUUAUUUUUACUUCAUCACUUUGUAUACGUCAUCGCACUUUCUCCUGGCCUAUAAGAUCUCUCCUGAGAAAUUUUACGUUCUACUUUACUGGAACUUCAUUAAAUAUUAUUUGCAUCAUUUUUCUCAUUG
rnacentral:lncRNA from 1 species